UACGGAGGGGGCUAGCGUUGUUCGGAAUUACUGGGCGUAAAGUGUGCGCAGGCGGCCGCGCAAGUCGAGUGUGAAAGCCCCGAGCUUAACUUGGGAACUGCGCUCGAAACUACGUGGCUGGAGUGUGGCAGAGGAAGGUGGAAUUCCAGGUGUAGCGGUGGAAUGCGCAGAUAUCAGGAGGAACACCGAUGGCGAAGGCAGAUCUCUGGGCCGUAACUGACGCUGAGGAGCGAAAGCAUGGGGAGCGAACAGG
rnacentral:rRNA from 1 species